GCCUGGGUGGCUCAGCGGUUGAGCAUCUGCCUUCAGCUCAGGGCAUGAUCCUGGAGUCCUGGGAUCAAGUCCCACAUCAGGCU
rnacentral:tRNA from 1 species